AGCGUUAGCGAUGUUAGCUGUUAAUGUUAACUUUUCCAGUAACUAACUUAACCAUCAUGUGGGAUUUUUCGAAUGAUAGUCAAUAUCAUAUCUAGCAAUAAUUCAGUCUGAUAUGUCGUUAUGAAUGUAGAGUUUUAGUUUGAAUGAAAUAUCAGACGCAAGUAGCUUAGCUUAAAGUGGCUGUUACCAUGCAGGCUGAAGGCUGAAGUUAGCUAGCAGACAGACACAGGUGAAAGUUGUUAACGUUAGCAGCUAGUUAGUAACAUUACUUUGCGAACUCCAUGGGGCAUGGGUAGUUAACAUUAAACUUAAUACAUGUAGUGUUGAUGCAUAAUAUGUAGUGUUGCUAUAACUGAAAAGAGGACCAGUAAAACAAAUUAAUGAAGUAGGCUGAUGUGUAAGUUAUCUCACCCCUAAUUUAGGAACUGUAGUUUUGCAUAGUCAUGCUCAUAGAUCCGUCAUAUAGUGGAUGUGAAAGGGGAGCAUUUGGGGAAUUUCAAUUACCAGAAAUAUCAUGCCGAUAAGUAAAGGGAUCUUUAGUUUGUGAAGGGUAGUGUUUGGCUAAAUGGUAUUCAUUUUAUAGCCUUUAUUUGCCCAAUGUUUGGUGACUUAAAUUGAGGCAUGUGUUUAUUUAAGAUGCAUGUGACUGUAGUAGUGCUUCAGUGAUGGUCUUUUCAUGUUCUGUGUGUUUUGCAAUGUAUUAAUUAAUGUAAGCCUCUUUCUGUUCCCUCUGUUAGUAGGUGGUGUGAGGACUGCUGCCCUGAGAACGCUGUGUCAGAGACACUUAGGCUGUGUGCAUUUUGGAAUGUUCCAAAUGUGUGUCACUUCCAUAAGGAAGAAGUUCCAAGCCUGCAAGUGAGUUCACUCACCAAAUAGAGACACACGCAUAUAGCAUUUAAUAUGUGUGCAUGUACUGUAUUUGUGUCUGUAACUGUUUAGUUUAUCCCCUCCUUUCAUGUGUCUGUUAUGACUUUGUGGGCUCAACUGCCAACAACUGUCCAGGGCGAAGUCGGUCUACCCUGAUGGCACUACCUGAUGGCACUACCCUGAUGAUGUCUGUUAGCCAUGGCUGCUGCCCUCAACAUGGUGAGCCAUCCAGAAGUCCCAGCCUGGAGCCAGAGGCUGCUAUUGCAAGUCAGAUGGGAGAUGGCCUACAGUAUGUUAGGCAUCAGAAAAGUGGUGUUCGCAUGAAGGCAGAGUUGCCGCAGGCAAUUAUGAGAUUAGACACUUGACAUUUACUGCGAAAGGUACCAUCAGAGCACCUCUCCCUACCCUGCAGGAUACCUAUACCAGAAGAGUACAACAACGGCCCAAAAGUAUUUCAAAAGACAUUUCACGCUCUGACCACGGACUGUUUAAACCACUGAGGUCAAGCAGACGUCUCUGUUCCCACGUGGCAGACUGAGGGAACACCCACAAAACAGACUGGGGAUGAGUUUCUUUACUCCGCAUCCUGUACACACACAACUCCUUAUACUACAUUACAUAGACUUGCCAGUUGCCAUACUGCACUUACACACACUGCGCUUUUAACCCCCUUAUCUGUGUCAAAUCAGAUAAGGUUGUGGUUGUGUUCAAACCAUGUCUACUGUUGUCUGUCAACAUCCACUUCAGUCAUACAUUUGAAAUGUCUUAAAUAAAUAACAAAAGUUAAAAUUG